UAUACGCCUGAUUUUCUCAAU
rnacentral:siRNA from 1 species